rnacentral:rRNA from 1 species
GACGAACGCUGGCGGCGUGCUUAACACAUGCAAGUCGAGCGGUAAGGCCCUUUCGGGGGUACACGAGCGGCGAACGGGUGAGUAACACGUGGGUGACCUGCCCUCAGCUCUGGGAUAAGCCCGGGAAACUGGGUCUAAUACCGGAUAUGACUCCAUGACGCAUGUUGUGGGGUGGAAAGCCUUGUGCGGCUGAGGAUGGGCCCGCGGCCUAUCAGCUUGUUGGUGGGGUGAUGGCCUACCAAGGCGACGACGGGUAGCCGGCCUGAGAGGGCGACCGGCCACACUGGGACUGAGAUACGGCCCAGACUCCUACGGGAGGGCAGCAGUGGGGAAUCUUGCGCAAUGGGCGAAAGCCUGACGCAGCGACGCCGCGUGAGGGAUGACGGCCU